rnacentral:rRNA from 1 species
AGUCGAACGAUGAACCACUUCGGUGGGGAUUAGUGGCGAACGGGUGAGUAACACGUGGGCAAUCUGCCCUGCACUCUGGGACAAGCCCUGGAAACGGGGUCUAAUACCGGAUAAUAUCCUCCUCCGCAUGGUGGGGGUUUGAAAGCUCCGGCGGUGCAGGAUGAGCCCGCGGCCUAUCAGCUUGUUGGUGAGGUAGUGGCUCACCAAGGCGACGACGGGUAGCCGGCCUGAGAGGGCGACCGGCCACACUGGGACUGAGACACGGCCCAGACUCCUACGGGAGGCAGCAGUGGGGAAUAUUGCACAAUGGGCGAAAGCCUGAUGCAGCGACGCCGCGUGAGGGAUGACGGCCUUCGGGUUGUAAACCUCUUUCAGCAGGGAAGAAGCGAAAGUGACGGUACCUGCAGAAGAAGCGCCGGCUAACUACGUGCCAGCAGCCGCGGUAAUACGUAGGGCGCAAGCGUUGUCCGGAAUUAUUGGGCGUAAAGAGCUCGUAGGCGGCUUGUCGCGUCGGUUGUGAAAGCCCGGGGCUUAACCCCGGGUCUGCAGUCGAUACGGGCAGGCUAGAGUUCGGUAGGGGAGAUCGGAAUUCCUGGUGUAGCGGUGAAAUGCGCAGAUAUCA